rnacentral:rRNA from 1 species
AACGAACGCUGGCGGCAGGCCUUAUACAUGCAAGUCGAACGAUAAGCUUACUUCGGUAAGUGGACAGUGGCGCACGGGUGAGUAACGCGUAGAGAUCUACCAAGCAGUGGGGGACAACUAUUGGAAACGAUAGCUAAAACCGCAUACGCCCUUCGGGGGAAAUAUUUAUAGCUGUUUGAUGAGUCUGCGUUAGAUUAGCUAGUUGGUAGGGUAAAAGCCUACCAAGGCGACGAUCUAUAGCUGGUUUGAGAGGAUGAUCAGCCACACUGGAACUGAGACACGGUCCAG